rnacentral:lncRNA from 1 species
AUGGCAACAAGCAUCAUUUGAGAUUUGGCUAGUGCCAAAAUAUUUCACUGACAUAUGAAUAUUUAAAUAUUUAAAUUUUUUAAAUUUUUAUUCAAUAAAUAUGAUAAUUUUUUUUAAUUAUUUUCUACGAUAUUUUGGCCAUACACAUAAGUAUUUUCUUGCUAUACCCAAAAAGAACAAAUGUGUUUGAGAGAAGCAGAG